GGGAUAACACUUGGAAACAGGUGCUAAUACCGUAUAACACUAUUUCCGCAUGGAAGAAAGUUGAAAGGCGCUUUUGCGUCACUGAUGGAUGGACCCGCGGUGCAUUAGCUAGUUGGUGAGGUAACGGCUCACCAAGGCCACGAUGCAUAGCCGACCUGAGAGGGUGAUCGGCCACACUGGGACUGAGACACGGCCCAGACUCCUACGGGAGGCAGCAGUAGGGAAUCUUCGGCAAUGGACGAAAGUCUGACCGAGCAACGCCGCGUGAGUGAAGAAGGUUUUCGGAUCGUAAAACUCUGUUGUUAGAGAAGAACAAGGAUGAGAGUAAAAUGUUCAUCCCUUGACGGUAUCUAACCAGAAAGCCACGGCUAACUACGUGCCAGCAGCCGCGGUAAUACGUAGGUGGCAAGCGUUGUCCGGAUUUAUUGGGCGUAAAGCGAGCGCAGGCGGUUUCUUAAGUCUGAUGUGAAAGCCCCCGGCUCAACCGGGGAGGGUCAUUGGAAACUGGGAGACUUGAGUGCAGAAGAGGAGAGUGGAAUUCCAUGUGUAGCGGUGAAAUGCGUAGAUAUAUGGAGGAACACCAGUGGCGAAGGCGGCUCUCUGGUCUGUAACUGACGCUGAGGCUCGAAAGCGUGGGGAGCGAACAGGAUUAGAUACCCUGGUAGUCCACGCCGUAAACGAUGAGU
rnacentral:rRNA from 1 species